rnacentral:rRNA from 1 species
CCUACGGGUGGCAGCAGUGGGGAAUAUUGGACAAUGGGCGAAAGCCUGAUCCAGCCAUGCCGCGUGUGUGAAGAAGGCCUUCGGGUUGUAAAGCACUUUCAGUGGGGAAGAAAGCCUUGGGGCUAAUACCCUCGAGGAAGGACAUCACCCACAGAAGAAGCACCGGCUAACUCCGUGCCAGCAGCCGCGGUAAUACGGAGGGUGCGAGCGUUAAUCGGAAUUACUGGGCGUAAAGCGCGCGUAGGCGGUCUGAUAAGCCGGUUGUGAAAGCCCCGGGCUCAACCUGGGAACGGCAUCCGGAACUGUCAGGCUAGAGUGCAGGAGAGGAUGGUAGAAUUCCCGGUGUAGCGGUGAAAUGCGUAGAGAUCGGGAGGAAUACCAGUGGCGAAGGCGGCCUUCUGGACUGACACUGACGCUGAGGUGCGAAAGCGUGGGUAGCAAACAGGAUUAGAUACCCUAGUAGUC